rnacentral:rRNA from 1 species
CAGUAGGGAAUCUUCCACAAUGGGCGCAAGCCUGAUGGAGCAACACCGCGUGAGUGAAGAAAGGGUUUCGGCUCGUAAAGCUCUGUUGUUAAAGAAGAACACGUAUGAGAGUAACUGUUCAUACGUUGACGGUAUUUAACCAGAAAGUCACGGCUAACUACGUGCCAG